UACAGAGGUCUCGAGCGUUGUUCGGAUUCAUUGGGCGUAAAGGGUGCGUAGGCGGCGCGGUAAGUCGGGUGUGAAAUCUCGGAGCUUAACUCCGAAACUGCAUUCGAUACUGCCGUGCUUGAGGACUGGAGAGGAGACUGGAAUUUACGGUGUAGCGGUGAAAUGCGCAGAUAUCAGGAAGAACACCCGUGGCGAAGGCGGCUCUCUGGAACGCAACUGACGCUGAGACGCGAAAGCGUGGGGAGCAAACAGG
rnacentral:rRNA from 1 species